CAACACUGACUUCUUUCUGCUGCCCUGGGCCAAGUGGCUGGGGACUCUGGGAGAAUGGGGGAGAGUGAGGCGGCUCACAGUUCUGCUGGGCGCCCUUGGCAAAGGCUCCUAAGGGAUGAAUCAUCCCCUGGUGACUAAGCACAGGAGCCUGCGGGUUCUUUCUUGGGGCAGCUGAAAGGGCCAUGCAGUGUGGGUUCCAAUGGCUGUCACCACAAGGGCCCCUCUAAGAGGGGAAGCCAAAGACAAUGCUUGCUUUGUGCCUCUCUGCAAAGAAGUGAGGAGGAAAAGCCUGUGAGUUGGCGGUGAGGCCACCCCACGAAGGGGGCUGCCCCUGCUCCUGAGGAAAGGGGCCUGGCUUUGGGACCCGGCCCUGCUGUGUGAUAUGGAGCAAACUCUGACACCUCUCUUCAUCCCUGCCCUGUCGGUCUUGGGUGCAUCAGAGGAGCUGAUGGACAGGAAAGGUCUUGGGACACAGGAGACUUUGAUGGAGGUGAGACUGCUCUGAACAGGAAGAAUGAACAGGAAAAAGGCUGGUCCACUGGUCAGGAGACAAGGUGGGGCAGAGGGAACCCCCUGAGCCAGGCUUGAAGGUCCCCUUGCCUCCCAU